UGAGUACGAGCGGCUACGGCCGCGAAGUGGAUGAUGUCAAGCUUCCAAGAAAAGCCCUAUACCCGUUAAGGCAUGAUGGCCUGUACCCGAAACCGACACAGGUGGGGUGGUAGAGAAUACCGAGGGGCGCGAGGUAACUCUCUCUAAGGAACUCGGCAAAAUGGCCCCGUAACUUCGGGAGAAGGGGUGCCACCGCGAGGUGGUCGCAGUGAAGAGGCCCAGGCGACUGUUUACCAAAAACACAGGUCUCCGCUAAGUCGCAAGACGAUGUAUGGGGGCUGACGCCUGCCCAGUGCCGGAAGGUUAAGGAAGCUGGUCAGCGCAAGCGAAGCUGGCGACUGAAGCCCCGGUGAACGGCGGCCGUAACAAUAACGGUCCUAAGGUAGCGAAAUUCCUUGUCGGGUAAGUUCCGACCCGCACGAAAGGCGUAACGAUCUGGGCGCUGUCUCGGAGAGAGGCUCGGCGAAAUAGAAUUGUCUGUGAAGAUGCGGACUACGUGCACCCGGACAGAAAGACCCUAUAAGCUUUACUGUAGCUUGGUAUUGUGCUCGGGCUCGGAAUGCGCAGGAUAGGUGGGAGGCUUUGAUCCAUUGCUUGCGGGUGAUGGUGAGCCACUGGUGAGAUACCACUCUUUCCGAGCUAGAGUUCUAACAGCAACCCGUUAUCCGGGUGCUGGACAGUAUCAGGUGGGCAGUUUGACUGGGGCGGUCGCCUCCUAAAAGGUAACGGAGGCGCGCAAAGGUCUGCUCAGGCUGGUUGGAAAUCAGCCGACGAGUGUAAAAGCAGAAGCAGGCUUGACUGUGAGACCUACAAGUCGAACAGGGAGGAAACUCGGCUUUAGUGAUCCGACGGUUCUGCGUGGAAGGGCCGUCGCUCAACGGAUAAAAGUUACUCUAGGAUAACAGGCUGAUCUCCCCCAAGAGUUCACAUCGACGGGGAGGUUUGGCACCUCGAUGUCGGCUCAUCGCAACCUGGGGCUGAAGUCGGUCCCAAGGGUUGGGCUGUUCGCCCAUUAAAGCGGUACGCGAGCUGGGUUCAGAACGUCGUGAGACAGUUCGGUCCAUAUCCGGUGCACGCGCAGGAAUAUUGAGAGGAUUUCUCCCUAGUACGAGAGGACCGGGAGGAACGCACCUCUGGUGUGCCAGUUAUCGUGCCAACGGUAAACGCUGGGUAGCCAUGUGCGGAGUGGAUAACCGCUGAAAGCAUCUAAGUGGGAAGCCCACCUCAAGAUGAGUAUUCCCAUGGCAUAAGCCAGUAAGGUCACGGGAAGAACACCCGUUGAUAGGCUCUACGUGGAAGCGCAGUAAUGUGUGAAGCGGAGGAGUACUAAUAGACCGAGGGCUUGACC
rnacentral:rRNA from 1 species